rnacentral:rRNA from 1 species
CAGUAGCCGCGGUAAUACAGAGGGUGCAAGCGUUAAUCGGAAUUACUGGGCGUAAAGCGCGCGUAGGUGGUUCGCCAAGUUGGAUGUGAAAUCCCCGGGCUCAACCUGGGAACUGCAUCCAAAACUGGCGAGCUAGAGUAUGGUAGAGGGUGGUGGAAUUUCCUGUGUAGCGGUGAAAUGCGUAGAUAUAGGAAGGAACAUCAGUGGCGAAGGCGACCACCUGGACUGAUACUGACACUGAGGUGCGAAAGCGUGGGGAGCAAACAGGAUUAGAUACCCCCGUAGUCCCUGUCUCUUAUCC